GGAGACUAUAUGAAAAUACAACCACUGAGAUUCACACUGAAACAACAUGGCCUCUAUGAUGUCACACUACAACACACAGGUAGGUUCUCUGUCCUAGGGAUAGAGACAACACUAGAACACACAGGUAGGUUCUCUGUCCUAGGGAUAGAGACAACACUAGAACACACAGGUAGGUUCUCUGUCCUAGGGAUAGAGACAACACUAGAACAGAACACUAGAACACACAGGUAGGUUCUCUGUCCUAGGAAUAGAGACAACACUAGAACACACAGGUAGGUACUCUGUCCUAGGGAUAGAGACAACACUAGAACAGAACACUAGAACACACAGGUAGGUACUCUGUCCUAGGGAUAGAGACAACACUAGAACAGAACACUAGAACACACAGGUAGGUUCUCUGUCCUAGGAAUAGAGACAACACUAGAACACACAGGUAGGUUCUCUGUCCUAGGGAUAGAGACAACACUAGAACACACAGGUAGGUUCUCUGUCCUAGGGAUAGAGACAACACUAGAACAGAACACUAGAACACACAGGUAGGUACUCUGUCCUAGGAAUAGAGACAACACUAGAACAGAACACUAGAACACACAGGUAGGUACUCUGUCCUAGGAAUAGAGACAACACUAGAACAGAACACUAGAACACACAGGUAGGUACUCUGUUCUAGGGAUAGAGACAACACUAGAACACACAGGUAGGUACUCUGUCCUAGGGAUAGAGACAACACUAGAACAGAACACUAGAACACACAGGUAGGUACUCUGUCCUAGGGAUAGAGACAACACUAGAACAGAACA